rnacentral:rRNA from 1 species
CAGCCGCCGCGGGAAAACGGAGGGUGCAAGCGUUAAUCGGAAUUACUGGGCGUAAAGCGCACGCAGGCGGUCUGUCAAGUCGGAUGUGAAAUCCCCGGGCUCAACCUGGGAACUGCAUUCGAAACUGGCAGGCUAGAGUCUUGUAGAGGGGGGUAGAAUUCCAGGUGUAGCGGUGAAAUGCGUAGAGAUCUGGAGGAAUACCGGUGGCGAAGGCGGCCCCCUGGACAAAGACUGACGCUCAGGUGCGAAAGCGUGGGGAGCAAACAGGAUUAGAUACCCCGGUAGUCCCUGUCUCUUAUAA